rnacentral:rRNA from 1 species
UAGCUAAAUGCGGAAGAGAUAAGUGCUGAAAGCAUCUAAGCACGAAACUUGCCCCGAGAUGAGUUCUCCCUGAGACUUUAAGUCUCCUGAAGGAACGUUGAAGACGAUGACGUUGAUAGGCCGGGUGUGUAAGCGCAGCGAUGCGUUGAGCUAACCGGUACUAAUGAACCGUGAGGCUUAACCUU